rnacentral:rRNA from 1 species
AGUGAACGCUGGCGGUAGGCCUAACACAUGCAAGUCGAACGGCAGCACAGUAAGAGCUUGCUCUUACGGGUGGCGAGUGGCGGACGGGUGAGGAAUACAUCGGAAUCUACUUUUUCGUGGGGGAUAACGUAGGGAAACUUACGCUAAUACCGCAUACGGCCUACGGGUGAAAGCAGGGGAUCUUCGGACCUUGCGCGAUUGAAUGAGCCGAUGUCGGAUUAGCUAGUUGGCGGGGUAAAGGCCCACCAAGGCGACGAUCCGUAGCUGGUCUGAGAGGAUGAUCAGACACACUGGAACUGAGACACGGUCCAGACUCCUACGGGAGGCAGCAGUGGGGAAUAUUGGACAAUGGGCGAAAGCCUGAUCCAGCCAUACCGCGUGGGUGAAGAAGGCCUUCGGGUUGUAAAGCCCUUUUGUUGGGAAAGAAAAGCAGCAGGUUAAUACCCCGCUGUUCUGACGGUACCCAAAGAAUAAGCACCGGCUAACUUCGUG